UAACCAACGCGAUGAGU
rnacentral:misc_RNA from 1 species